rnacentral:rRNA from 1 species
CGAACGGGUGAGUAACACGUGAGUAACCUGCCCCAGACUCUGGGAUAACCCCGGGAAACCGGAGCUAAUACCGGAUACGACACGGAGAGGCAUCUCUAUCGUGUGGAAAGUUUUUCGGUCUGGGAUGGACUCGCGGCCUAUCAGCUUGUUGGUGAGGUAACGGCUCACCAAGGCGACGACGGGUAGCCGGCCUGAGAGGGCGAUCGGCCACACUGGGACUGAGACACGGCCCAG